rnacentral:rRNA from 1 species
UGCCAGCCGCCGCGGUAAUACGGAGGGUGCAAGCGUUGUUCGGAAUUAUUGGGCGUAAAGGGCACGUAGGCGGGUAAAUUAGUUGGUUGUGAAAUCCCAUGGCUUACCCAUGGAACUGCAGCCAAAACUGUUUACCUUGAGUAUGGUAGGGGAUAGUGGAACUCCUGGUGUAGCGGUGAAAUGCGUAGAUAUCUAGAGGAACGCCAAUAGUGAAGACAGGCAGCUGGACCGAUCCUGACGCUGAGGCACGAAAGCGUGGGUAGCGAACGGGAUUAGAUA